GAUGAAGAACGCAGCGAAAUGCGAUAAGUAAUGUGAAUUGCAGAAUUCAGUGAAUCAUCGAAUCUUUGAACGCACCUUGCACCCUUUGGCAUUCCGAAGGGUAUGCUCGUUUGAGUGUCAUCGUACUCUCACACUCCCAAUUGCUUUGGAUUGGGAGCGGUGGACUUGGGUGUUGCUGCUUGACUGAGGCUCACCUGAAAUAUGUUAGUGCACCUCUUGAUUGGACAUAGUACGGCGUGAUAAGUGUCUUCGCCGGCUCCUCGCAAAGAGGGUGGCCGAUCGGGAGCUCUGUUGCUUCAAACUGUCUUCGGACAAUCUUCUGGCGACUUGACCUCAAAUCGAGUAGGACUACCCGCUGAACUUAAGCAUAUCAAUAAGCGGAGGA
rnacentral:misc_RNA from 1 species